rnacentral:lncRNA from 1 species
UAGUUCGCUUCAUUCCUUCCCCACCACCCCUGCCACCGGCGCUGGGUCUGGCGAGGAGGAAAGCCCCAAAGGCGACCCGGAACGCCAGCGAGAGCUGCACAGCCUCCCGCGGUGCAACCACCACGGCUCGGGCAAGCUCUUCUUCCCCCUCCUCUUCCUCCUCCUCCUCCUCCUCCCUCCCCGCCGCCUCUCGCCCAAACCUUCCCCGACCCUCCGGGCUCGGGGGGCGCGGAGGGGAGGCGGCUCUCCCAAGUUCAGACAAAAGCGGAGGGCCGGGGCGAGAGGAGGCGCCUGGCGGGCGGUGCCAACCCGCCCGUGGGGCUGCCGAGGCCGGGCAGAGCCCCGAGACCCGCGGGGGGCUCCCCCGGAGGCCGCUCCGCCGGAGGCCGGGCUGGGUCGGGAGGGAUGGGUGGAAAGGAGAAGGGGGGGGGGAGGAGGAGGAGGAGGAAAAGCUCCGCGGCCGCGUAACUCCCCGCGUGGGAAAGUCCGCCCCGGCUCAGCCUCCGAUGAGCUCGGCCUCCAACAUGGCGUCCGCGGCCCUUGCGUGCGCGCUGCGCGGAGCCUCCGCGGCCUCCACCGCGGGAGGCCCCGGGGCGCUGCUCGGAGGCGACCCCUCCGCGCAGCCCGGCUUGGAGGGGGGGGGCGCCGGGGGGUGCCCCAGCUCGGGGGUCGGCGGGUCGCGGUCCCGCGGAGAGCGCGCGAGCCGCGGAAGGCUCUUCCCUCCGGUGAAAGCGGAGCGGAGCCGGAGUCACUCCGGGUGUGAGCCCCGGGGGGGGGGCAGCGGGGAAGAUGCCUUAGGAGGCAGCGGGGAGAUGGAGGGGCCGAGGAGGAGGAGGAGGAGGAGGAGGAAGGGGACAUUGCAAGGCUCUCCGCGCCCGCCGCCGAUAACGAGAGGGCUGGGGGAAGCUGGCUGGAUUUUAUUUUUAUUUUAAUUAAAACUUUAGUGGGUCCUGGGGAUCGUGCUCGCUUCGCUUUGCUUUGUAGGGUGGAAAGAGAUACACGGAGAAAUGCAGGCCUUGUCAGGAUUUAUUGAAGUUGGGUUUAAAAAACGUGCUUCAGAUGAUUUUUCCCAUUUUCUCAGAUUUCAAAGGCUCCCCGCAGUGCGGCUGCCUAAUUAAUGGUGAAAUUCAACUAAAUCUAAUUAUGCAGUAAUUUUAAAGCAGUUAGUCCUGGGCGCUGCUUUGUAAUAGGAACCCAGUUUUUAAAGUUUGCUUAAUGUGUUGGUUUAGGGAGCUGGGGAGGAGAAGGGUGUAAGAGGCAGAGCGCUCUUUUUUUUUUUUUUUUGCUUUGUGUUUUUGUAUUGAAGUCCAUCUAAUUUGGAGCAUUUAUAUUUGAAAAGGGAC